rnacentral:sRNA from 1 species
GGCACGCCCAGCUGUUUCCUCAGGGCAUCGACCACACAAUCGCCAGAGAAUCAAAGUACUACUCAGGUUGAGCGAGCAUUGCCAAUAGCACCUCUUAACCUGGUGAAUGCUGGGUAGGGACUAUUUGAUGAAGAAAACAACAAGGCCCCUGAGACAAGCUGAGAUGUAGCUCUUCCGUCCAGGACACACGCGCCUUGCAGAACGGGACCUAGCAGAGGCUUAGCAACAAGCAACAGACGUACUGAGAUGGCAGAGGUCCAACUCUGAGUGCGGAGGGCCCUUGGUCUGCAACCCGGCUGUGAGGACUUGGACCAGACUCAUCCCCACUCUCUGCUGGCGGGCAAGGACCUGAGUUCCCUGCCAAUGAGCUGAGAGUUGUGGUUAGAGCUGGGCCAUUUCCAAACCACUUAUUGACACUGAACCACCGCACUUCUCUCUCUUAAGUGUGGGGAUGUGCUUCGCAGACCAGACGCACCAAGCCUUUGGAGUGGUGCCAGCAAGAGUCGCUCAGAUUAUAAGAAUGAUGACCUUCUCAAUAGAUGACUUGACACAUAAAUAUCUAUUAGGUGGUAGAGACUGCAGGAAGAAGGAACUACUAAGAAAGAACUGACCUACUUAGCAAGACUACAGAAAUCUGUACCCAUGAUACAAACAGCAGAG